rnacentral:rRNA from 1 species
CGAGAAAGCCCGCAAGGGUGAGUAAAGCGGCGAACGGGUGCGUAACACGUGGGUAAUCUGCCCUAGAGUCCGGAAUAACUCGCCGAAAGGCGUGCUAAUGCCGGAUGAGACCACGGGAGCCUCGGCUCCUGCGGGAAAAGGUGGCCUCUGUACACAAGCUAUCGCUCUGGGAUGAGCCCGCGGCCCAUCAGCUCGUUGGCGGGGUAAUGGCCCACCAAGGCUACGACGGGUAGCUGGUCUGAGAGGACGAUCAGCCACACUGGAACUGAGACACGGUCCAGACUCCUACGGGAGGCAGCAGUGGGGAAUCUUGCGCAAUGGGCGAAAGCUUGACGCAGCAACGCCGCGUGUGUGAUGAAGGUCUUCGGAUCGUAAAGCACUGUCGCGAGGGACG